UACGGAGGGAGCUAGCGUUGUUCGGAAUUACUGGGCGUAAAGCGCACGUAGGCGGCUUUGUAAGUUAGAGGUGAAAGCCCGGGGCUCAACCCCGGAAUUGCCUUUAAGACUGCAUCGCUUGAAUCCAGGAGAGGUGAGUGGAAUUCCGAGUGUAGAGGUGAAAUUCGUAGAUAUUCGCAAGAACACCAGUGGCGAAGGCGGCUCACUGGCCCGAUACUGACGCUGAGGCACGAAAGCGCGGGGAGCAAACAGG
rnacentral:rRNA from 1 species